GUAACUUUGUAACCCAUUAAAAUUUGAAUCAAAUGUACACACACUAUUUUGACUCAGAACUAUUUAAUACUAUGGCAAAGGUGAACUUAAGUAAUGAGGGCAAAAGUAAGGCUUAAGUAAGGUAAAAGUAAGGCUUAAGGGCUUAAGUAAUAAGGGCACUUAAGUAAUAAGCCCCCCCCCCUCCCCCCCGUUCUCGCUUUGAAACUUUCAGGUAUUUUUUGAUGAACUCACAAUUACCCCUGAACUUAUCUAACAACCGUAAGAGAGUGUUUUUGUAAAAAUCUUAAUUUAAAAUUAAUAAAUGCAGUUACGACACAUUUUCUUCUCAAAACCUUUUCAUAUACUAAGCUGUUUUCACCGUAAGUGACAAUGACUAGGCAUUUUUAGGGGUAUCUGCACAGAUACGACAAAAAUAGCUUAGCAAAACGUGCUCAAUGUAUUAUUAAAUAAUACUGAAAACAUCUGCUUUCUUUGGACUUGGCUGUUUCGCUUUAUUUCGUUAAUACAAAUGUAACAGAACCUAUCUUCUGAAAGAUACCGUUUUCAAAACUCCGGACAGUUGAAACUGUAAUCCAUAACAAUUUUCUGUUUUUUAUAUUUAAUGAAUGUGUUUUUUUUACAAUGUUUUAUUUUCUAGAUUCAUUUUUACCGAGCAUGAAGAUAAUUUUGACAGCAGACGAUAC